CCUACGGGGGGCUGCAGUCGAGAAUCUUCGGCAAUGGACGAAAGUCUGACCGAGCGACGCCGCGUGUAUGAUGAAGGCCUUCGGGUUGUAAGUACUGUCGAUUGGGCGGAAGUUAGAGGGGGUUCUCCCUUUCUUUUGACCUAUCAUUUGAGGAAGGACGGGCUAAGUUCGUGCCAGCAGCCGCGGUAAGACGAACUGUUCGAACGUUAUUCGGAAUCACUGGGCUUAAAGGGCAUGUAGGUUGUAUACUAAGCGGGGUCUGAAAUCCCACGGCUCAACCGUGGAACUGGGCUUCGAACUGGUAAACUAGAGUGAAGUAGAGGUAAGCGGAACUUGGGGUGAAGUAGUGAAAUGCAUAGAUAUCCCAGGGAACACCGGUGGCGAAAGCGGCUUACUUGGCUUCAACUGACACUCAAGUGCGAAAGCUAGGGUAGCGAAAGGGAUUAGAUACCCCUGUAGUC
rnacentral:rRNA from 1 species